GACGUAGGGGGCUAGCGUUGUUCGGAAUUACUGGGCGUAAAGCGCGUGUAGGCGGUUGCCCAAGUCGGGUGUGAAAGCCUUGAGCUCAACUCAAGAAAUGCACUCGGUACUGGGUGACUAGAGGACCGGAGAGGAUAGUGGAAUUCCCAGUGUAGUGGUGAAAUACGUAGAGAUUGGGAAGAACACCAGUGGCGAAGGCGGCUAUCUGGACGGUUUCUGACGCUAAGACGCGAAAGCGUGGGGAGCAAACAGG
rnacentral:rRNA from 1 species